UCCCAAGGGCCUGACACUCUUUGAUAGAGAAAGAUAGUCUUAUUGCGAUUCCUAUAAGAGGAAAGAGAAAAUAGUGCAAUGCUUUGUCUUUAUCACCGACCGGGUUUUUUUUCAUGGUCGGGUUAUGGCAGCUUAGGAAGGAGGCUGAUGGCGAUAUACAGAAAUUUAUAAGAGUGAAAGAGACAAAAUCCCGCAAGAUGCCAUACAUUAAACUGUCAAUCAUAUUGUCAAGAGUGCUAGUAAACAAUGUGGUUUUCUUAUUGUAGAAGUUUUAUAAAGUGAAUGAUUGUCUUUAUUAAGUAUUUAAUGGAGGUGUAAGAUGUUUUUACGUACAAUUAACAUGGUGGGGUGUUCAGUGGUUGCCUACAAAAGCAAUAGCUUGCGAAAAUAAGCGGGGUGUAACAUUUCAUGCGUAAGUACAAGUUUUUCGUAUUUUGAUCAUGUAUUUCUUUCUCAAAUCUCACAGGAACCAAGUUACUGAGUUACAUCAUUAGUUGGAUUAUGAAAAACUUCAUAAAAUAGGAGAUAUCAGUAAAUUAUUGCUAAAAAUAAAACAGAAAGUUUGGUUAUGUAAAACCAGUCAAAUUCAGUAGUAUUUUAUUUAGGGUUGCAAACAAAUAGAAAAAAAAGUCCCCUGCAAUUACCCCAUAUUUCGGGAGUUUCAAGCUAUUUGAUAUUUCCAGCUUUCCGACGGAGGAUGAAAUUGUUAAAGAAUGGAUUGCGGGAACUGGAAAAUCAAAUUGGAUGCCUCACAAAUACUCGCGUAUUUGUUCCAAACAUUUUGAACAACAUUGUGUCCGCAAACUGGGCAAACGAACUUUCAUCGAAAAGUUUUCUUUUCCAACCUUGUUCAUACACGAGAGGAGAGAGAAAAUUCUUUUCUUCAUCAUGUCAUGGAAAUCGUCCAUUCGUGCACGUCGUCGUCGUGGCAGUCUCAACAGCAUUCUGAAGCUAUUAUUGAACUUCAUAUAAUUGAUCCACAGGUUACAAGUGUAUGUGUAAAUAAAGUUUUCUUGACCCCCACAGUAUGUACAACGCGCAACACGUAAGAUUUUUUAUUUAAACAUAAAUAUUCGGUUUUAAGUAACAGUUU